ACGAACGCUGGCGGCGCGCCUAACACAUGCAAGUCGAACGGAGCUGAGAGAAGCUUGCUUUUCUUAGCUUAGUGGCGAACGGGUGAGUAACGCGUGAGUAACCUGCCCUGGAGUGGGGGACAACAGUUGGAAACGACUGCUAAUACCGCAUAGGCCCACGAUCCGGCAUCGGAUUGAGGGAAAAGGAUUUAUUCGCUUCAGGAUGGACUCGCGUCCAAUUAGCUAGUUGGUGAGGUAACGGCCCACCAAGGCGACGAUUGGUAGCCGGACUGAGAGGUUGAACGGCCACAUUGGGACUGAGACACGGCCCAGACUCCUACGGGAGGCAGCAGUGGGGGAUAUUGCACAAUGGGGGAAACCCUGAUGCAGCGACGCCGCGUGGAGGAAGAAGGUUUUCGGAUUGUAAACUCCUGUCGUUAGGGACGAUAAUGACGGUACCUAACAAGAAAGCACCGGCUAACUACGUG
rnacentral:rRNA from 1 species